CGUGUGGUUCUAUUUUGUUGGUUUCUAGAGUUGCUAUAAUGAUUAAUAGGGAUAGUUGGGAGCAUUUGUAUUGCAUUGCUAGAGGUGAAAUUCUUGGAUUUACACAAGACAAACUAUUGCAAAAGCAUUUGCCAAGGAUGUUUUCAUUAAUCAAGAACAAAGGUUAUGGGAUUGAAAACAAUCAGAUACCAUUGUAGUCUUAACAGUAAACUAUGCCAACUAGGGAUUGGACGACCUCAAUAUUAUGUGUUGUUUGGCACCUUACAAGAAAUCAAAGUCUUUGGGUUCUGGGGGGAGUAUGGUUGCAAGGCUGAAACUUAAAGGAAUUGACAGAAGGGCACCACCAGGAGUGGAGCCUGUGGCUUAAUUUGACUCAACACAGGGAAACUCACCAGGUCCAGA
rnacentral:rRNA from 1 species